rnacentral:rRNA from 1 species
UACGGGGGGAGCAAGCGUUGUUCGGAAUUACUGGGCGUAAAGGGCGCGUAGGCGGUUUGCUAAGUUGGAUGUGAAAACUCUGGGCUUAACCCAGAGCCUGCAUCCAAAACUGGCAAACUUGAGUACUGGAGGGGAAAGCGGAAUUCCUGGUGUAGCGGUGAAAUGCGUAGAUAUCAGGAGGAACACCGGUGGCGAAGGCGGCUUUCUGGACAGUAACUGACGCUGAGGCGCGAAAGCUAGGGGAGCAAACAGG